CCUACGGGAGGCAGCCGUGAGGAAUAUUGGGCCAUGGAGGCAACUCUGACCCCGCCAUGCCGCGUGAGUGAAGCAGGUUUUCGGAUUGUAAAGCUCUUUCGGAUGUGACGAUGGUGCUGGUAGCAUCUAAAGAAGCCCAGGCUCACUUCGUGCAAGCAGCCGCGGUAAUACGGAGGGGCCAAGCGUUGUUCGGAAUUACUGGGCGUAAAGGGAGUGUAGUCGGUUUUUUAAGAUAGUGUGGAAAUCCAAGAGCUUAACUUUUGAAUUGACAUUAUAACUAUUAGACUAGAAUUACAGAGAGGAUAGUGGAAUACGCAGGGUAGAGGUGAAAUUCGUAGAUAUUGGGUAGAACACCAGUGGCGAAGGCGACUAUCUGGCUGUACAUUGACGCUGAGGCUCGAAAGCAUGGGGAUCAAACAGGAUUAGAUACCCCUGUAGUC
rnacentral:rRNA from 1 species